ACGGACAAUUAUUUAUAGCCUCUGGCUAUAGGAAAUUGUUAGUGGCAGACGGGUGAGUAAUGCGUAGGAAUCUACCUAGUAGUACGGAAUAGCCAUUAGAAAUGGUGGGUAAUACUGUAUAAUCCCCGAGGGGGAAAGAUUUAUCGCUAUUAGAUGAGCCUACGUUAGAUUAGCUAGUUGGUGAGGUAAUGGCUUACCAAGGCUAUGAUCUAUAGCUGGUCUGAGAGGACGAUCAGCCACACUGGAACUGAGAUACGGUCCAGACUCCUACGGGAGGCAGCAGUGGGGAAUAUUGGACAAUGGGCGAAAGCCUGAUCCAGCUAUGCCGCGUGAGUGAAGAAGGCCUUCGGGUUGUAAAACUCUUUCAAUAGGGAAGAUAAUGACGGUACCUAUAGAAGAAGUCCCGGCAAACUCUGUGC
rnacentral:rRNA from 1 species